rnacentral:rRNA from 1 species
CCUACGGGAGGCAGCAGUAGGGAAUCUUGCGCAAUGGGCGAAAGCCUGACGCAGCCAUGCCGCGUGAAUGAUGAAGGUCUUAGGAUUGUAAAAUUCUUUCACCGGGGACGAUAAUGACGGUACCCGGAGAAGAAGCCCCGGCUAACUUCGUGCCAGCAGCCGCGGUAAUACGAAGGGGGCUAGCGUUGCUCGGAAUUACUGGGCGUAAAGGGAGCGUAGGCGGAUAGUUUAGUCAGAGGUGAAAGCCCAGGGCUCAACCUUGGAACUGCCUUUGAUACUGGCUAUCUUGAGUACGGGAGAGGUGAGUGGAACUCCGAGUGUAGAGGUGAAAUUCGUAGAUAUUCGGAAGAACACCAGUGGCGAAGGCGACUCACUGGCCCGUUACUGACGCUGAGGCUCGAAAGCGUGGGGAGCAAACAGGAUUAGAUACCCUGGUAGUCCACGCUGUAAACGAUGAGUGCUAGUUGUCGGCAUGCAUGCAUGUCGGUGACGCAGCUACGCAUAAGUACACUCCGCCGUCGGGAGGUACGGUCGCGAGAUAAACUACAANAGAGUAGUACGCGUGAGACGUCGCCGACGGACGACGACGAGGGAGGAGG